rnacentral:rRNA from 1 species
UACGGAGGGGGCUAGCGUUGUUCGGAAUGACUGGGCGUAAAGCGUGCGCAGGCGGUUUUGUAAGUCUGACGUGAAAUCCCCGGGCUCAACCUGGGAAUUGCGUUGGAGACUGCAAGGCUAGAAUCUGGCAGAGGGGGGUAGAAUUCCACGUGUAGCAGUGAAAUGCGUAGAGAUGUGGAGGAACACCGAUGGCGAAGGCAGCCCCCUGGGUCAAGAUUGACGCUCAUGCACGAAAGCGUGGGGAGCAAACAGG